AUUGAAUGCUGGCGGCAUGCUUAACACAUGCAAGUCGAACGGCAUCAACAUUUAGCUUGCUAGAUGGUUGGCGAGUGGCGAACGGGUGAGUAACGCGUAGGAAUAUGCCUUAAAGAGGGGGACAACCUGGGGAAACUCAGGCUAAUACCGCAUACACUCCGAGGAGAGAAGCGGGGGACCGCAAGGCCUGGCGCUUUAAGAAUAGCCUGCGUCCGAUUAGCUGGGUGGUGGGGUAAAGGCCUACCAAGGCGACGAUCGGUAGCUGUCUGAGAGGAUGACCAGCCACACUGGGACUGAGACACGGCCCAGACUCCUACGGGAGGCAGCAGUGGGGAAUAUUGGACAAUGGGGGGAACCCUGAUCCAGCAAUGCCGCGUGUGUGAAGAAGGCCUGCGGGUUGUAAAGCACUUUCAGUGGGGAGGAGGUUUGUUAGGUUAAGAGCUGAACAAAUGGACGUUACCCACAGAAGAAGCACCGGCUAACUCCGUGCCAGCAGCCGCAGUAA
rnacentral:rRNA from 1 species